UCCUGGCUCAGAUUGAACGCUGGCGGCAGGCCUAACACAUGCAAGUCGAGCGGUAGAGAGGUGCUUGCAUCUCUUGAGAGCGGCGGACGGGUGAGUAAUGCCUAGGAAUCUGCCUAGUGGUGGGGGAUAACGUUCGGAAACGGACGCUAAUACCGCAUACGUCCUACGGGAGAAAGCGGGGGAUCUUCGGACCUCGCGCCAUUAGAUGAGCCUAGGUCGGAUUAGCUAGUUGGUGAGGUAAUGGCUCACCAAGGCGACGAUCCGUAACUGGUCUGAGAGGAUGAUCAGUCACACUGGAACUGAGACACGGUCCAGACUCCUACGGGAGGCAGCAGUGGGGAAUAUUGGACAAUGGGCGAAAGCCUGAUCCAGCCAUGCCGCGUGUGUGAAGAAGGUCUUCGGAUUGUAAAGCACUUUAAGUUGGGAGGAAGGGUAGUAACCUAAUACGUUGCUACUUUGACGUUACCGACAGAAUAAGCACCGGCUAACUUCGUG
rnacentral:rRNA from 1 species